CAACUGUGUGAAUUAAUGUGAACUGCAUACUGCUUUGAGCAUCGACAUCUUGAACGCAUAUUGCGGCCAUGGGUUAGCCUGUGGCCACGCCUGUCCGAGGGUCGGCUUAUAAACUAUCGCGACGCCCAUAAAGUCGUGGUUUGGGUCUUACCAGCUGGCGUGAUUUCCCCACUGUACUGAUUUGUUCAAUUGGACAUUGAUGGAUGGUUGGGGUGCCGGAUCUAUGGUUUUUCCCUAAUGUGUCCG
rnacentral:rRNA from 4 species